rnacentral:other from 1 species
GAAACCCUGCCUGUCACGUCGGCAGGCAAUAGUGCUACAGCCAACAACUAUUACAAGGGAGCCAAAUUUCCUGUCACUGCGGUGAUAAGGAUGCGGCACCCACCUGUAUGAGAAAAGGACUGUAAGCAGGGAGCCUUCGACGGACUAACGGCAGGGCGUUU